rnacentral:misc_RNA from 1 species
UUUCCGUAGGUGAACCUGCGGAAGGAUCAUUAUUGGAUUUUGAAACUUCAGGCUGCUGCUGGCUCUCCUCGGAGGGCAUGUGCACGCUUGUUGUCCAUUAUUUCUCCCACUGUGCACAAAUUGUAGACCUUUCAGUAGGCCUAUGUUGUUUUUCACAAUCUCUGAAUGUAAUAGAAUGGUUUUGAAUCUUGAGAAAUACAAUACAACUUUCAGCAACGGAUCUCUUGGCUCUC